rnacentral:lncRNA from 1 species
UGAUGGUCACAACAAUAACUCUAGGAAAAUAGAACAGGUCACAUAUCAGAUUUGACACUAAUCCCAAAUCCAUCCAACAAGCAGAGGACGAAAAGAUCCGAAAAAUCUAAACUUUACAUCGAAGAAACCUGGAAAAUAGUCGACAUAUAGGAGUAACACACAAACCGAACCAGCAUCCAAUCGUCCAGAAGAAUAAGUACAGUCAAAAAGAGCGCAAGUUCGAGACUUUAGAUCGAUAUUCAAAUGAAACAAAGAGAAGUAAGACGGUCGGAGAUCCAAGAACGCCAGAAUCAACCAUUUCCUACAAAAGUCGGGUUUUGAUAGGAAAGCGAGGCGUCUUAGAUCGAUAUUCAAACGAAACAAAGAGAAGCAAGACGGUCGGAGAUCGAAGAACGCCAGAAUCAAUCAUUUCCAACAAAAAUCAGGUUUUUGAGAGGGAAACGGGGCGUCUUACUUCUCCUGCUCAGCGAGGGCGCCGAGGGCGGAGCGGAUGCCAGGGAUGUGAGGGGAGUGCGGGGCGGUUGAGGGGGAAGGGGAGUAGGCCAUGUA